CAUGGUCUCUCUCUCUCUCUCUCAAAAAUAAACAUUAAAAAAAAUAAAAUAAAUAUAGGCAUACCUCCUUUUAUUGUGCUUCCUUUUUAUUGAGCUUGUCAAAUAUUUCAUUGUGUUUUUCAAGUUGAAGGUCUGUGGUAGUGCUGUGUCGAGCACGUCUCUCUGGGCCAUUUUUCCAACAGCGUUUGUUCGAUUCAUAUCCAUGUCACAUUUUGGUAAUUCUCACAGUUUUUCAGUUUUUUUCAUUCUUACUAUGUUCGUUAUGUUAUCUAUCAUCAGUGAUCUUUGAUGUUACUCUUGCAUUUGUUUUUGGAGCGCCACACUCCAUGGCCGUAGCAGAUGGUAAAGCUAAUUGAUAAAUGUGGUGAGUGUUCUGACUGGUGCACCGACCAGCCAUUUUCCCAUCUCUCUCCCUGUCCUUGGGCCUCCCGAUUCCCUGAGACAUUCCAGUUUCAGAAUUUGGCAAAUUAAGAAUACUACAAGGACCUCAAAGUGUUCACAUGAAAGGAAGAGUUGCAUGUCUCCACUUCAAAUCAAAGCUAGAAAUGAUUAUGACUUCACUCAUCUGUGGAAUUUGAGGGCUCUUAAGAAUUCUGCUUCAUCUACCCACCUUGUGCUCUGCAAAUGAAACAACACAACCUGAAUAACAGCACAUCUGUUUACAGAAUGAGUUACUGAAUAUUAUAAGCCCACUGCUGAGACCUACUGCUCAGAAAAAAAGAUUUCUUUGAAAAUAUGACUGCUCAUAGACAAUGCACCUGGUCACCUAAGAGCUCUGAUGGAGGAGUACAAUGACCUGAAUGUUGCUUUCUUGCCUGCUAAUACAACAUUCCUUCUGCGGCCUAUGGAUCAAGGAGUCAUUUCAACUUUCAAGUCUUGGUAUUGAAAAACUAUAUUUUGUAAGGCAAUAGCUGUGAUAGAUAGUGAUUCUUUUGAUGGCUCUGGGCGACGUAAAUUGAAAACCUCCUGGAAAGGAUUCACCAGCCUCGACGCCAUUAAGAACAUAUGUGGUUCAUGGGAGCCAGUCAAAAUAUCAACAUUUACAGGAGUUUGAAGACAUUGAUUUCCACCCUCAUGGACGACUGUCAGGGUUUCUAGACUUCAGUGGACCAAGUCACCGCAGAUAUGGUGGAAACAGCAAGAGAAUUAGCAUUAGAAGUGGAGCCUCAAGAUGGGACUAAAUUGCUGCAAAUCUCAUGAUAAAACUUGAAUGGAUGAAGGAGCAGAGAAAGUGGUUUCUUGAGAUUGAAUGUACUCCUGGGGAAGAUGCCGUGAAGAUUAUUCAGUUACAACAAAGGAACUAGAACAUGACUUGCGCUUAGUUGAUCAAACAGUGGUAGGCUUUGAGAGGAUUGUGUCCAAUUGUGAGAGAAAUUCAGCCGUUCUGCAAAUGGUUUCAAACGGCAUCACGUGCUACAGAGAAGCCAUUAGUGAAUCUAUUGAUGUGACAAACUUCAUUGUGGUCUUACUUUAAGAGAGUGCCAGAGCUUCCCCCAGUCUGAUCAGUCAACAGCCAUCAACAUCAAAGCAAGAGCCUCCUCUAGCAAAAAGAUGGUAACUGGCGCUUUGCAGCAAUAUUUUUAGUUAA